AUUCUGAAAUAUUUCUCUUCCUCUCCACACAAUUCCAUCCUGUCUCCCAUGCCAGAGGGCUAGUGGGAUACUUAUUUAUACCGCUGCAGCAGUGCCGUACUUUAAGAUUGCCAAAGAACCAGGCAACGUGAGUAUCCAGGUGCACAGAAUCGUCAGGAAUUGUGGGAAUAAAAAGCCUGCAUCACAUGUUAGGUACAUGUUUAACUUUUUAAAAAAAAUUUUGUGGGUAUAUAGUAGGAGUAUAUAUUUAUGGUGUAACUAAGAUUUUUCUGAUACAGGCAUGCAACGUGAAAUAAGCACAUUGUGAAGAUGUUUAACAUCUUAAGACAUUGCCAAAGUGGUUGUACCAUUUUUUUUUUUGCAACCAGCAGUGUAAGAAAUGCCCCUUCCUCCACAUCCUUGCCAACAUUCGAUAUGAUCAAUCUUUGUAAUUAUAGCCUAUCAAUAAUUAUGUAGUGGUAUCUCAUCUUGAUUUUGAUUUGCAUUUCUCUAAUGACUAAAUGAUAUUGAGCAUCUCUUUUUUUGCUUAUUGCCAUCUCUAUAUCAUCAUCUUUGAUGACAAGCAUGGUCAUAUAUUUUGCCCAUUUUAUUCAGUUGUUUUGUAUUGAGUUUUGACAGAUCUUUAUAUAUUCUAUUAGACAUAUCUUAUUCUAUUUAUAUAUAUUCUAUUAGACAGAUAUUUAUAUACUCUAUUAGACACAUAUUUUUCAAAUAUUUUCUCCCAGUCCAUAGCUUGUCCUUUUUGUUUUCUUUCCUUUCGUCAAACUUUAUUUUAGUAUCAGGGGUACAUGUGCAGGUUGUUUAUAUAGGUAUAUUGCAUGAUGCUGAGGUUUAGAGUAUGAAUGAGUCUGUCACCCAAGUAAUGAGCAUAGUACCCAAUAGGUACUUUUUUUCAACCCUUAACCUGUUCCCUCUGUCCUCUCUCCUGUAUUUCCCAAUGUCUAUUGUCUCUUGUUCCCAUUUGUAUGACCAUGUCUACUCAAUGUUUAGCUCCCACUUGUAAGUGACAACAUUUGGUAUCUGGAGUUCUGUUUCUGUGUUAGUCCACUUAGGAUAAUGGUUUCCAGCAGCAUCCAUGUUGCUGCAAAGAACAUGAUUUUGUUCUUUUUAUGGCUGCUUAGUACUCCACGGUGCAUAUGUACCACAUUUUCUGUAUCCAGUUUCCCAUUGGUGGGCACCUGGGUUGAUUCCAUGCCUUUGCUAUUGUGAAUUGUAGCUUGUUUUUCAUUCUCCUCACAGUAUCUUCCAAAUAGCACAAGCUUUUACAUUUUGAUAGAGCCAAAUUUGUUAAUUUUUCCUUUUGUGAUUGUGCCUUUGGCUGUUGUGUCUCAGAAAUUUUCACCUUAUACAAGGUCACAAAAUUUUUCUCCUGUGAUUCCUUCUACAAGUUUUGUUGCAUUCAGACUUAUUUCUAGGUCUGUAAUACAUUUUGAGCUUACUUUUGCGUAUGCCGCAAGACAUCAAUCAAAGUGCAUUGCAUGAAUGUUUAUAUCCAGUUGUUGCCAAAUCACUUGUUCUUUAAGACUAUCAUUUCUCCACAGAAUUAUUUUUCACUUUUGCUAAAAAUCAAUUGUACAUGUUUGUAUAUGUCUAAGUUAUCUAUUCAGUUCCAUUGAUGUAUUUCUCUAUAUUAAUGUCAACAGCAUACACUCUUGAUGACAAAGCUUUAUAGUCAACCUUGAAAUAAAGGUACCUCUACUAUUUGUUCUCCUUUUUCCCAUAUAUUCUUUUUCCUAUUUUUCAGACAACUUUUGGAUUAUCUUAGUAUUUUUUAUAAUUCAAUUUAGAUCCUUUGUUGACUAAUAGUAUAAGAACUUUACAGUAAUAUAUCUCCUUCUAGCUUUUGUUAUUAUUUUCAUCCAUUAUAUUUACAUACAUAUUAUAAUAAUAUAUUGUUAUUUUGUUUACUUAAACAGUUCAUAUCUUUUUCACAGCUUGAAAUAUAAUUCACAUAUACAAUUAACCAAUUUAAAAUAUCUAAUUCAGUAUUUUUAGUGUAUUUACAAGGUUGUGUAACUAUUAUCACAAUCUCAUUUUAGAAUAUUUUAGUUCCUCCUUAAAAAAAAAAAAGAAAAGAAAAACAUACCCAUUAGUUAUCACCUCCCAUUUCUCAAGGUUGUCAAGGUUCAUCCAUGUUGUAG
rnacentral:lncRNA from 10 species